UUCCCUCCAUAAUUUUCAUGUUCUUGUGAGGAAAAAAGAUUAAAACAUGUUUAAUUUUAUUUGAUUUUAUGACAUUGCUUCCAACAAGCAAAUGUUAAAUGUGUAAGACUUGACUUGUUGUACUAGUGUUGUAAUUUUCCAAGUGUCCCUAAAGGCCACUUCCUAUCAUUUUUCCCAGUAAAUGAGGCAAGCAGUUCUAAGAUCUUCCACAAACAUCUAGCCAUCUAAAAUGGAGAGAUGAAUCAUUCUACCUAUACAAACAAGCUAGCUGUUAGAGGGUGGUCGGGGUAUGCUACUCAUAGGAUUUCAGGGUGUCUUCAAACUGAAAUCUCAAUGUUCUCAAUAAGAAAAACCGGAGGUCAGAUGCCUAUGUAAGGAAAGUGCUAUUCACCCAGUAAACCCAAAACAGAUGGAUAAUGCUGGCCAUAUUUUGCCUUUCUGACAUUUCCUUGGGAAUCUGCAAGAACCUCCCCUUUCCCUUCCCCCAGUAAGACCAUUUAAGUGUGUGUUAAACAACUACAGAAUACUAAAUAAAAAGUUUGGCCAAAACCAACCAUGAAGCUGCAAACGAUGCUUGCUCUUACUGUUUCAAAUUUUUGCAACUCUGUAGUGUCUCACUUUUAAAGGAACAGCUUGAUUGCAAAGGAGAAAAUAGAUAAGCAAUGAAGUUAUCUCCAACUUCCUAAAGGCUUAUGACUUCUAAAAAGUGAAUCUAUCAGCAUUCCACAUCAGAUUUAAAGCAUCAAAUGCCUGUGAAACAGCAAAGAUGGUCGAGAAUUGGUCAUUAUGGUCGUGGAGUGCUGAUAUAUUCACAGUAGAUUAAAGCUGGCAGCAAAAUAAAUCACAUGCUAAGAGUUGUUGAAGC